GGGCCGUAGGCGGCGUGCUUAUACAUGCAAGUCGAACGAACUCUGGUAUUGAUUGGUGCUUGCAUCAUGAUUUACAUUUGAGUGAGUGGCGAACUGGUGAGUAACACGUGGGAAACCUGCCCAGAAGCGGGGGAUAACACCUGGAAACAGAUGCUAAUACCGCAUAACAACUUGGACCGCAUGGUCCGAGCUUGAAAGAUGGCUUCGGCUAUCACUUUUGGAUGGUCCCGCGGCGUAUUAGCUAGAUGGUGGGGUAACGGCUCACCAUGGCAAUGAUACGUAGCCGACCUGAGAGGGCAAUCGGCCACAUUGGGACUGAGACACGGCCCAAACUCCUACGGGAGGCAGCAGUAGGGAAUCUUCCACAAUGGACGAAAGUCUGAUGGAGCAACGCCGCGUGAGUGAAGAAGGGUUUCGGCUCGUAAAACUCUGUUGUUAAAGAAGAACAUAUCUGAGAGUAACUGUUCAGGUAUUGACGGUAUUUAACCAGAAAGCCACGGCUAACUACGUGCCAGCAGCCGCGGUAAUACGUAGGUGGCAAGCGUUGUCCGGAUUUAUUGGGCGUAAAGCGAGCGCAGGCGGUUUUUUAAGUCUGAUGUGAAAGCCUUCGGCUCAACCGAAGAAGUGCAUCGGAAACUGGGAAACUUGAGUGCAGAAGAGGACAGUGGAACUCCAUGUGUAGCGGUGAAAUGCGUAGAUAUAUGGAAGAACACCAGUGGCGAAGGCGGCUGUCUGGUCUGUAACUGACGCUGAGGCUCGAAAGUAUGGGUAGCAAACAGGAUUAGAUACCCUGGUAGUCCAUACCGUAAACGAUGAAUGCUAAGUGUUGGAGGGUUUCCGCCCUUCAGUGCUGCAGCUAACGCAUUAAGCAUUCCGCCUGGGGAGUACGGCCGCAAGGCUGAAACUUAAAAGGAAUUUGACGGGGGCCCGCACAAGCGGUGGGCAUGUGGUUUAAAUUCGAAAGCUACGCGAAGAAACCUUACCAGGUUCUUGACAUACUUAUGCAAAUCUUAAGAGAUUAGACGAUUCCCUCUCCGGGGACAUUGAUUACAGGUUGGUAGCCAUGGCUGCCCUCAGCUUCGUAGUUCAGAAAAUGCUGGAUUAAGUUCCCGCAAUCGAAGCGCACCUCUUUAAUUAUUCGGUUGCCCAGGCAUUAAGGUCGGCCCACUCCUGGGUGAGAACUUGCCGGUGAAUAACCGGAAGGAGAGUGUG
rnacentral:rRNA from 2 species